AUCCAGUUGACGAGUCCCGAAUAGAACGAAACAUGUAUCCUGGAU
rfam:Schistosoma haematobium scaffold678_11, whole genome shotgun sequence.